GGGCGGGUAGGGGGAGGUUGCUCUGUGUGGUGCAGGAGCCGGGGCGGCUCCGGUGACUCUUGGGGCUGUGCCUCUUGAGCUGUCCGGGGAGAGGGGUCCGUGCGGGGCUGUAGCAGCCGCGGCACUUAGCUGUGGGACCAAGUACGGGCUGGGGAUUAAAGAGUAGCGCUGGCCUUGGUGGGAGAGGCCGUCAAAAGGGAGCAGGCUGGGUCAUGCCCUUGUCGCAUACCAGGUGACAGGCUGCGUUGGCUGUUUUGAGGCUUUUUUUCAGGGUUGUAGCUUCUGUCUGAUAAUUGCACUAGUGGUGUUUGGUUGUCAUAGACGUAGGGCUUAGCGUGACCAGCAGGAGGAGCUUUGUUUCCUCCUAGAGGCAGCUGCCCUCAGUAUGUCUGGAAAAGGGUAGGAUUAGAUUAGAUAUAAGGAAGACAUUUUUUUUCAAGGAUGGUGAUGCAUAGAAACAGGCUGCCUGGUGAAGUUGUGGCUGCCUCAUCCCAAAGCCAGGCUGGAUGGGGCUCUGAGCAACCUAGUCUAGUGGAAGGUGUCGCUGCCCACGGCAGGGGGGUUGCAACUAGGUGGUCUUUAAGGUCCCUUCCAACCCAACCUAUGACUCUGUGUCCAUAGAGUCAUAUAUCAGCCUUGAAAAAGCUGAGAGAAUGGAUGAGAUGUAAAGCAUCUCAGCAGUUCACCUAACUUGCUUGCCCAUUAUCUUAGGUGUGCUUGCUGUCUGGUGUUGGUGUGGCUUAGCCAGAUGACUGGGUGCUGUCUUAGUUUCAGCAUACUUCUGGCUGGCAUCUAGGAGGUAGGCUAGAAUUUUGACCAGCAGGUUUUAGACUUUAUUGUACUGAACGUCAUCCCUGCUUUUGCUAGGCUUUUGUGUUGGGGAUUGGGAAAUGAUCUGCUCACCAAAAGAGAGAGUAAUCAAAGCUCCCUUAGGCUUAAGGGGACUGAAGUUCCCUGAAACAAUGUAUAGAAGACUUUUAAUGUAAACUCGAAGGGAGGAUGCUCAAGGUAUUGCAUGGCUUGUGAAAUAAUACCCUUUCUAGCUACAAGUGAUUCCUGUGAAAUAAAGCACUUUAUUAUCUCAAGAAGGUACUCAAUUGAAAGGAGUUGUGAAGAGUUUUACAGGCUUGCUUGAUGUGUUAGCUAAAGUCCAGUAGUGGUACAGCUCAGGACAAAUGGGGCUGUGGGGUUUAUUUUGUACUUUGGUUCCUCUCGGAGGUAAGUAGGAUGUAUUUGCUCAGGAUAUUGCCUCACAAUAACUACAUAGAUAGUGUGUUUGCCCCAGGAGACACUCGAGGGCGGGAGGGAGGAUGUCAUGAGAUGUUCUGUGAUGCAUUUGCUUCACCUGAACAUUGCAGCCUUUCAAAAUCUGCUGGUAUUACAGCAAUGUGUACCAUUCUUCUGUGGCUUUAUAUGCAGCUCUCUUCAGCUAAAGAAUCAGAACCAGUUGCUUGCCAUCCUGUAAAAAGUCUAGUGUCCUGUAAGUGCUUCUCCUCAUGUCCAGGUUGUCCCAUUUUGCCAUAUUCACAAGUAAAGAAAAAGAGAGGGUGGAAUGCUCUCUUGCUGCUGUACCUUUCAUUAAUAGUUCCAUACAUCUGAAGAAUUCUGGAUUACAAGUACAGCCCUUUUUAUUUCUUUUCUACUUCUUUUUCUUCUCUUUGCAGAUACCUUUAGAUUAGGUGAACUGUGGGUGAAAUAAAGGGGCAGUGGCAUGAUGACUUCACAGUUACAACAGUGUUCCACAGUAGACUUUAGCCCUAUGUUUUAUCUGUGCAGCUGAUUCCUGGUACUGAUGGUAAGUAUUGCAGUGGAAUUCUAGGGUAGACUCGACUGUCUUUUCUAUAACUGGCAGCAGAAGUGUAUGUGAAAUCUGCAUCCAGGAUGAUCUGCUGGUCUAAUGACAGUAUGUUUUGUUACUUAAACUGGUUUAGAAACAAUUGGUUUUACCUGCAGUGGUUUCCCUCUCUCCCUCCCCAUCCCACUGGAGUCAGUGCUGCUGCUCUGAGAAAGUUGCAGUGCACCUCACUUUGCAGAUAGUUUUUCUUCAUUGUUUUUACCAUUGUUUAUACCUUAUUUCUUUAUCUGUAGAAGCCCUGAUGUCUCAGCAGAGAGUUGCUAUAGCAUAUCAAAAUGUAGGAAAAAGGAAAUGACUUCAGAAACUACCCAAGUGAAUGCCUGAUACAAGAGACAAGUAAAACACUGUUUUCUCUGUGUGUGUGUAGUUCACUUCAGUCAGUUUGGGGGUGUCUGAUACUUGUCAGUGUAUGGAUUUUACUCAUCGGUGACAACUUGUUAGAACUGUUAAUGACAAAACCUGUUUUCUGUGUGUCAAACUCGGAUAGCAUGUCCACCUGAAAGCGCUAAUGCACAAGUCUCUCCUGACCGAACAGAUCUUAGUUGCAAGAUCCACAAGAAGCUUACAGUCCUAUUGCAGAAAUAAGCAUUUUCUUGGCGUUUCAUAUGAUAAUAUGCAAGGUGAUGAUAGAAUUGAAAGCCUGCCUUUGGCUUUUCUUAAACACAAAGGUAUGCUCUACUUUAAUGCUGUUAGUGGAAACUUACUCUGGUGUGUGUCUGGUCCUCAGCCUAUGAAGCUGAUGUGUUUGUCUGUACUUGAACUACUAUGCUGACACUGCAAAAACUAUGGAUUAUCUGAAGUGAUUUUUGUCACUGUGGACUCAGGUAAGCAACCACCCAGUUUCCUGAAGGCCUGGAGAAAGAGUUGGAAGAUCCUGCAGGAGAUCUGAGGAAGAUAAGGAUAAUAGGAAUAUGUGAUGACUUAAAGAAGAAAUUGCGUAAUCAAAGUUUAAUUUAAGUUCAUAUGUAGAAACCUGUCUUUGUGUCUCAGCUUUCCUUCUGACAAGUUUCCUCUAAAUGAAAAUGUCGAGGAUUUGGAUGCUGUAAAUUGAGCAGUCACUGGAUACUGUACUAAGCCAGCUCUGCAGUCUGCAUGAGAUACGCAGAUUUUGAGAUGAAGUGUACAAAUAGAUUAUUACGUAAUUUUUAAGGUGUCCGGUGUUAUAAUGCCACAGUGUCAGCAUCCAUGGCAGCGCAGCACAGAGAACUGUCAGGGGUUGUCUUGGUUCUUGCAAACUCACUGUCAGGCCUAACAUAAUUCCUGGUAUGCACAUUAGCAUUAGUGGAAUAUAGUUUGUAAGGAUUAUUGAUACCUUACAAGAGUACUUCUAUGCUACUCUUGGAAUGUGAGUUGUGUUUUAAAAUCCAAUUUUCUUAACUAUCCCAGCUGUAAAACUUGGUUGUCUACAGUCCCAGCUGCUUAUUUCAAAGCCUCUGGUGGAAGGGUGUUAACUCUUUCACAUCAAAGUUACUGCUCAGAUGAUGGAGGAUGAAGAAGCUGCAAUGAAGUUUGGUUGCUUGGCUGGUUGGUUGCAAUUGUCUCCCAUGGAGCUGUUUCCCAAAAAGUUAUGGAGCUGCAAAGAGAAAGGUGAGAGGGUGAAUUUAGCUGGGUAGAAUAGGUAAGUAUUUCUAUAUCAUGUUACUGUUUCCAAGUAUAUUAGUCAUAGCACAGAAGAAUACAUUGUGUUGUCUUGGUUCUUUGACAGGGAAAGCUUGGAAAAACAGGAGAGAGUGGAAGACUUCUGUGCCUUUUUUAAAUGUUUUCAAUGAAAUUGUGGGGAGGAAGCUGUUAAACCAGUAUCUGGAAGAGCCUAGUAUUCCUGCAUAGCAAAAGGAGUCUGUAAAGCUGCUCUGGAAAUAAUUCUAGUGACUAAUUAUGAAGUGUAACUUUUUUUUGUGUGUGUGUCUUUCAGCACAAGAAGAGUGCUCUAAGAGCAGUCAAGAACCUUUUCAGUUAGCAUGAACAUGUUCUUCAACCAAAAUGUGGCAGCAGUUCAAUAGCAGUUACACAACAGGAAAGGGUGUGCAGGCUACUGCAAGUCCCUGGGUUCAUAAGAUCUGGUAUCUGAAAGAACUCACUAGAGAGAAGAAUGUGGUUUUUUCCACAACUUCUAUCUUGAGUUGAAAAGAGAGCUAAUACUGCUCUCUACAAUAAAAUUGAUUUUAUUGUAGAUACUGGAGAUGGUCAUCACAAUAUGCAGGACUUCAAAGCGUUAGGACACUUAAAAACUGCAGGUAGUUUGAGUACAAGAGACUCCAGGGCUCCAGUUGUGGGAAGUUCCCUCUUCAGAAGGCACACUAACAUUGGGGAAAACUUGCUAAACACAAGGAGACUCAAAAUGUUCUGCGGCUGUCUCAGCUACACAUGGAUAUAUCUCUUAAGGUGGGAUGGUGUGAUAUGACCACUGAAGACCAUAGGGCUGUAAGCAGACCACUUUUCUCUUACGAGCAUGUGUGCCACUAACCAGUUCAGAAGCACCCCCAAAGCUUCAGGUUUUGUCACAUAAUAGUAUUUCCUGGAACAAUAGCUUUUCUUAGUCCACCUCACUCCUGCAAAGCCAGCUGGCUCAUGGCAGCACUGCCGUGAAGAUACGCCUUCCACACCCACGAGUUGCUGAAGACUUGCACAGAAGAUUACUCAGACGGGCUCCAGAGCUGAGCAUAAAUCUUUUGGCUCACACUGUUGUAGCUUUAAGAUGCACGAGUGCUUCCAUGUGGAACAAGAAACACUCAGGCUGCGUGUUUAGAUGUACUUUGUGUUUGCACUGCCCUCUGCAGCACAGAGCUUGAUCAAGCCCUGUAUUGCAUAAAGCAGGUGGAGGUAUCCGGCUGAGAUAGUGCUUGGGAUGGACCUCACUCAGUUGCCACUGAUCAUGGAAAGAUCUGUUUUUGUUGUGUAGGGGUAAACCUGAGUUGGUAACUGAUACUGCUCAGCUGAUGUGUGUGUCUGUGCCAGGUGAGCAGUCCAUGAGCUGACAAAUCUUUGACCAUGGUACUAGCUCUUAAUACUUUCAAAAUAAUAAAAAGGGGGGGCGAGGGGCAGCAGAGGAUUUUUUUAAGGGUCACAUAAGUUCUACUGAAAUGAAAAGCUCACUAAAAAUAUCUUUGUGGAAAGAAUACAUUUUAGGAAAUGAUGAUGCCUGUGACGAGAGCAAAAUGAGCCUUUAGUUAUGGCAAGCCUCCAAUGCUGUUCUUUGUCCCUGUUUUUGUGAGGUGUGGGUGAAAAGUGAACACAGGGAGAGUGAAAGCCAUAACCAGAGGUUAAAAUUUAAUUUUAGCAACCAUAGUUUAAGUCAAAUGAUGCACCAUUAUUUAUUUUCUUAGAAAAUCCUACAACUAAAUUGAUAGGCUGGAGUCUCUCAUUAUGCAUGCAAGUGUUCUCAGGUUCUCCAGCUAUUUGGGUGCAGUGGUGCAAAAUUUUGUGUUGCUUCCUGUAUGAUUCAGCUUAAAAUACUAGCUUGGGCAGGUGAGUACUUAAACAACAGUAUUGCAGUCAGAGCGCUCCUUAGUGCACACAAACCAUUUCCUUUGGGUAAGUUAAUGCUGCGCUGUGAAAAAGCACACAACUUCUGGGACAGCAGCAUUUGAUAGUAUCUAUACCAGAAUUCCCUGGGUUUGCUCUUUUCCUUGGUCUCUUCACCCAGACUUUUAGCUUUUCUGUACAUUAUCACCACCUGACUCUUUUCUACCACCUCAUUAUUUUUGGGGCUUUUUUUUGCUAUUUCUUUUCCAAGUGCCUCUUCCUGAAAAACUGACUACCACAGUGAGUAUCACAGUUCCGGGGCAAGUUUCUGCUCACAUGGUUUCACUUGCUCUAUUUUGUUAUUUACAUACAAAGUCCUAAGGAUAUAAUUUAGUGGACUGCUAGUGAGUAGCUAACGUUCAUGUCUUGACUGCAGUCUGCAUAGGUCAGGUUUGCACAAGUCUCCUGCUUCUUGAAUUCACUUCUGUAAGCAGGACUAGUGAUAGCUCAGUGUAGUUGAGAUGAAUCCCAGCAUGAACAGAGAGCUGGAGUAAGAUGUGGAACAGUUUUAAGUUUGGGGUUUUUUUUCCUUACCAAGACUGCAAAUAUAUUUUCCUCUUAUGCAACUAAUUCUUACAUUUGGGGAGUUGUAUGUUACCCCUGCACACAUAGCCAAAUAUAAUUUUAAUGGCAGAGUAGGCCUGCAAAAGAGAGAAUUAGGUAUUAAAAUGUUCCACGUAUAAUAGAUGAAAAGCUAAUCUGAGUUUCCUCCUGCUACCAAUGAAAUUGGCUGCUCUGCCAUAAACUUUUGCUAUGCUAAUAUGAUUUACUGCUCCACUGUGAUAAUGGUGAAUGUUGCUCUUUGGUGAGGACAAUGUGGUGGCAGCUGUUUCAGAGUGAUGAGCAGCGGCUUUGCUGAACAUGCUCUGCUUCAGCGGAUGUCAGCUAAAACAGCAGUUGCAUCCCCCGAGUUAGAUUGUUGCUGUUGUUAACCUUUGUAGAGAAACAUGCAAAGUAUAGGCAGGUGCAAUCCUCGGGUGAAUUGGCAAGAGGGUGUUGCACAGCCAAGUGGAUACUGUGUCUCACCAGGGAGGAAUGGCAGGGAUGAGCUUUACUAGUUCAUAUCACUGAGGUCCAUUUGGCCUCUUUCAAAUUCCUGCCCAUUGAAAGCUCCUCUGACCUCCAGGGUAGAUUGUGACUGGAGCAACUGCUGUCCCAGUGCUGCGUCCUGGAAAAAAGGAGGUGAUGAAUUGGAGUUUUAGUAGGCCCAGUGAAAAUAAAUGGAUUUUCUUUUCAUUAUAAAUAAUACAUUUAUACAGUAAUUUAUAAGUAUUUUUGUAGUGUAAAUACAUUUAUAUAUACAUACCUGGAAAUAUGUGCAUAUAUGUAUACAAAAGAUAUAUAUUUAAAUACAUUUGUAUACAUUAUUGUAUAAUAAUUCAUAAUUUAACACUUCAUAAAAUAUAAAUGAGUCAGUUGGGAGAAUCAUGGAAAAGUAGUGUAGUUUUGUCUUGCUGACAGACUCCUGGGAUAGAGAAGCUGUUCCCUCUUGAGCGCAAAUCAAACGUGAAUAUCUGGUCCCCAACAAAUACAGUUUGUGUUAAUUAUUUUAUUAAAAUAUCCAAUCACAUCUGUCUUUUAAGCUCUCAUCCUUGAGAAGGUUGUUUGGUUGUGGAUUAACCUUGUCAGGAGUAUUGACAUGCUUGGCUAGGGAACCAGGUAUGUGUGGGGUCUCUCACAAGUUUCUGUCAACACUUGAGUGUUGUGGCUCUCUGGGAUGGAUAACAUUGCUGCCAUUCAUUCUGAGUGGUGUUGCAGCUUCAUUUGCACAGGUUUGAUGGUAUCUCGGGUAUCCCAGCCCUUUGCUAUAGGCAGUUCUCCAUUAUCUGAAGGUAAGUUUAGGUACAAAUCAUGUCAGCCAAGAUGCUGGGUUUGGAAGAUACUAGGUUUGGAAGAUGCCUGCUUCAUUCUGUGGUAUGAGUACCACUCUUGGGUACUGUUGAUGUACCAAUCUUAUUCCUCCCAAAGGAAAUGUGCUCCCUGAGCUUUCCCUCUGCUAUGGUAGUGCUUUAUGUGUGCAGUCUCCAGGUAACGUUCACCUCUGUGCAAUGCAAAGGGAUGGCUACUCCAGUCUUCCCUGAAUUUACUGCUCUGCAGUCAGUCACAUAGCAGGAAAAGCAAAGCAUUAUUUUGUUCAUGUCCACCAUUGACAAAUGGGAUUUGGUUUUUGUCAUCAUUUUGUUUCUAUCUAGGUGUGUGCCAACACACAGGUUUUCCAUGCUUCCUUUUUUUUCUCUUUUUCUAUCUCCUUGUCACCCACACAUAGUACAUCACACUCAGUAUUUAGUGUGUCAGAAGCCCUAGGAUAAUUAUCAUUUGUUAACUGUGUGAAGGUGGUAGUUCUGAUGGCUGCAGAAUUCCAGCUAUUGCAUCCCAUCAUUAUUAAGAAGAAAAAAGAAAGCUUGGAGGAAAGAGCCCUGCUUUCCUUCUUGAAUCUUGGGGCGGUGUGGGGAGGGAGAGGGGAUAGAUUAAUAACACUUUAAAAGUAGACAAAAAGUGCUUUUCCUGUGCUGAGUUUCAUAUUUUUAACCUUUGCAUUUUAAAAUUUCAAAGUAGCACUUUCCAUUUGCUAAACUGAUGACACCUGAGGAAAAACAGAUCUUUACAGCCAAUUGCCUCAAAUACUGCAAAGACACAAGUGACAUUUUGCACAUGCCCUGUAAGUGCAGACCCAGUGUAUUGCUGGAAACCAACCUGUCACAGCUAAAAUACAAUAAUGCAAAAAGCCAUCAGAAGGCUGAGCAAACCCAGCCCUUCUUACGUGUUACUUCUACAGUGUUCUGUCUAAAAACUAUUAUCCCUUGGAAAACUAGCUGACACAUUUUAAUGAGAAGAAUCAAAGUGCCUCUGUAGGGUUCUCCUAAUUUUAAUACAUUCAUAAUCAUAGAAAGAUUAUAUUGGAAGCCAUCUGUAGAUAAAUGUAACUUCCUGAGACAGCUUAAACUACUGAGCCAUUUUCAUAUAGCCCAUUUGUGACAUCAUCAGAUAGGUUCACAUUUCUGAGGCCAAAAUAAAAGGUGGCUUUGUGUUAGUUAUUUAGAAGACACUAAAAAUCAUAAAAGGAGCCCUGAUUUUAGGUAAAGUGAGUGCAUGCCGGUGGUUACACAAGUCAGUAUUCAGGCAGGGUUUGUGGUUUCUUAGCUCACCAGUUUUAUCUACAGAGCAGCAAGGAGAACGUGGACUGUGUUAGCAAUCUUCUCCCCUGUGGCAGACACUCGUAGGCCAUGGCUGUGAGCUGGAACCUGGGCUGGAUGCAGCUGUGAGAGGACUGAGGGAAUGGCAGAACCUAUAACACUAAUGGGCACAGAGAGGGUGUCCCUCGGCCUUCUAUCUCCCCAGCUCCCCACCAGUCGGGUCACACCUCUGAAGUCUUCAGUGUAGCCAAAUACUACGUGGUGCUGCAAAAUGCACGUCAGAGAUGCGGAUCUCUGCUGGUUCUGACACUGGAGAGGCAGCUGUAGCUGCUGGCCCACUGUACUGGUGAGAAUAACCAAAAAUAACUAAAUUUAGGAAGACAGGUUUGAAAUAAUGUUGGUGAUGGUUUAGAACUACUUUAGCCUAGGACCAAAGUACUUGAAAUAAAUAAUUGAAUAAGUUGUUGGUGUUCUAGCAUUUAUUAGGGAUUGAAACAUAAGCCACUAACAGUGAAUGGAAGUCAUCUCGCUGAACUUCAGACACCCAGCAGGUGCCUGGUCUCAGUGUGGGCUUUCCUUGCACUCUGCAGAGAGGACUGCACACAUAUCAAGGUUGAUUUCAACACCUCUUAUGCUAAUUCAAGAGUCUUAAGUUUACAGAACACAAGCCAGCAGAAGCCUGAUCCCAAACAGUAUUUGUGCCUGUAUUAUUAUCAUGUGGAGUCACACUUCGCGCGACAGUUAUUGACUAGAUAGUUAAUUAUGGGAGUAACUUAUAUAGGAAUGGGCUCAAUUCUUGCGCCAGUGUUGCAGGAAGGCAAAUUUGUCUCUUGAGAUGUCUUUUCCUUUCUGUUGACUACAGAGGGAGCAGAGGUUAGGAUAGCUCAACAUUGACAUCUGACCUACACAUCUAGCUGAGGUACAUCUCACCCACUGUGCCUGCAGGCUGCUGCUACUACCAUUGGGUAAUACUCUGCCUCAUCUUUGAAGGUCUGUACACACUUAAUAGAUUUUAUGGAUCUGAUUUCACAUCCAAGGGAAUAAAGUGUGACAGUUAAAGCCAUGUAAGUAGUAGAUAGUCAUUAACUUUUCUGAAAUCAGUAGAAUUCCCCCAUGGGACCAAUUGCACAUGUACAAGUAGUUCAGACUGUCGUUGACUGGAGACCUGUUGGGAAGCUGUACAUAAUAAAAGGUAGUAGUAAGUGAUGAUGAAAAAUGUAUCAUGUUCUAAUAUAUAGUGAUUUAUAUUCUGAAUUAGAUGUUCUGUUGAGAAUUUUCCUACACAUUUUUAAGUAGUUUUAAAAGGUUUGAACAAAAAUUCAGCAAUUUCUGUCCUUGAUUUCCAUUUAUUUACCACUUGGAAACUAUUUUCAAAAUGGAAUUCCUAUCUAAAGGUCUUUAAUUAAAAAAAAAAAAAGUGAGUACCAGCAAUCUUUUGAACUAUUGCAGAAGUAUAGCGCAGAUGAGGCCUUAGUAUUUCCUAGAGUAGGUAAAAUUCCUCUCUGUUUGCAGAAAUAGAGCAACCUAGUGACCAACUCAAGCAAAAGAUCAAAGAGGCAUCUUCCCAGUGGCUACAAACUGCAGAUAACAUCUUGUUUUCCCUUCCACAAAACACAGGCAAUACCAAACAUGACUAGGAUUCACAUCUUCCUCAUCUGCAGGGAUUAAGCUUUAUGAACCUGUUUCCAAAGCCACAUGCAAGAAAUGUGUUUGAGGUAUUUAAAGACAGAGAAAUGCCUCAACAAUUAUUAAGGGAUUAGAGGAAAAGGUUCAGGAGGAUAAGAGAAGGUUAUUGCAAACACAAGGGCGUAUGCAUGACACCAUCAUACUCUGUGGCUCUUCCAGAAGUUUCCAGUCUACAACAGACUGUAGAGAGCCUUUUGCAGGAUUUAAUGUGCCCAGUACUUGUGCUCUGCUUAAGGUUAAAAACAUGGAAAAUCUUGUGAUUCCUCGCUGUAACGACCUGUUUGUAUACAGAUAGGCUUUCAACUUAUGGAAAUGACCCAUGGUUUAUGAAAUAGCCUCUUCCUGUUUGCAAUGAUGCAGUGCAAUAUUGAGUCAUCUCUAACCUUUUACCCUUCCCUGUACAAGCUCUUUGUUGUUUGCGACCUGGCCCUUGAGAUUUGGAUUGAUGAUACCAGACAGCAGUUUUUACUUGAACUAGUCCCAGUUUUACCAGCUUUGGAUGAAUUAUUGCACUUUCCUAGGAAAAAGGUUUGAUCCACAUCACCGCUGAUUUGAAUUAUAAGAAAUUGCUAAAAAAUUACCUGUGUGUAGUUUGGGUUGAAAUAAUGAAUUCUUGAUUUUAGGGAUUAAUUGCAUUUCCCAUAUGCACCUAACUCUCCUUCCAUAGAGUAAUGAGUCCAGAGGCCAAGAAGUUCUGGAUGCAGAUGGAAAGUACAUACUGCAGUGUUCCACCAGAUUAUAUUUCCCUGUCUUUUGGAGAGAGCCCCUAAUGCCAGUGAAAUCUCAGCAAUAUGACACCUGGCCCUUCAAGGGAUGAAAUAGAGUGUCUUGCAGGAUUAUAAUGUGAAUUCCUUAGUUAAUUGCUGAAGACGCUGCUGUUCCCCUGCCUUAUGCUUAGUGCACUGAUUUGCAUGUUUACAAGACAAAAGCAAAUUGCAGAACAUAGAGAUCUGAAUGUAAACCCAUUGCUAAACUUUGACCUGGAAGCAUCAAGUUGUUCUUCUGAUCAUUCACAUUUACAGAAGGAACUGUAGCUAAAAGCAUGUGUAUGCAACUGUGAAGCCUUGGAUAUCCUCUGGAGAUGGAUGCAGGCAGGGCAUUCCAGCUUGGAAGUCCCCAAGAGCAGCAUAACAAUGUAUAAC